rnacentral:snRNA from 1 species
AAGUGGAUAAUAUACAGGCAUUUAUAUCUCUCACCCCAUUGAUCGCCAGGGUUGAUUCGGAUGAUCUGGUUGGCUAGGCAAGUGUUCCUUUCCUCCCUCACCACUCUAUGUGUGUCCUCCUCGAAACUGCAUGCUCGGUGGAAGAGGACAAUGUGCCAGGUAUAAAAGGAGUGUACCGAGGUCUCCAGUCUUUGGUCCCGGGUAUACAAUAGCUGUGCUCCCCUGCUAGAACAUCCAAACAAGCUCAAGGUCCAUUUGUAGGACAACAUAGGGUAGUCGGACAUGACUAGACUUAAUGUCAAGGGGAAACCUUUGCCUUUACCCUU